UACGUAGGGACUAAGCGUUGUUCGGAAUUACUGGGCGUAAAGGGCUCGUAGGCGGCCAACUAAGUCAGUUGUGAAAUCCCCAGGCUCAACCUGGGAACUGCGUCUGAUACUGGUUGGCUUGAAUCCGGGAGAGGGAUGCAGAAUUCCAGGUGUAGCGGUGAAAUGCGUAGAUAUCUGGAGGAAUACCGGUGGCGAAGGCGGCAUCCUGGACCGGCAUUGACGCUGAGGGGCGAAAGCCAGGGGAGCAAACGGG
rnacentral:rRNA from 1 species